UCCCACUCAUGUCAUUAGGCAAGCCAAUCUGCUCGGUCUAAUGGACUAGCAAAUUCUUCAAAUCCCUAAAUGUAGCCUCUUUGUUGGGCAUUUGUUUUCCUUCAAUCACCAUUCAUGUACCUACAGAAGAAUUUUUACAAAGAGAAGUACAAACAAGAGGGUUAGAUUGGCUUUGUGGCAACUCUCUCAAUUCACUCCAGAUAUCCUGAGUUGCUACUAUUCACUCCUUUGCUUCUGCCAAUCUUUUGUCUCUCAUUUCUUCGGUGUGGCGGAAUGUAGUUUGAAUGCUUGCUCUUCUCUAUCUCGUCUCUCAAACUUAGGGAAUUUGGAAUAAGAGCCCGCAAGUCCUUGAUGAAGAUUAUUUGUAGGCUAAUAAUGUUCACUAAACCAAUCGAUUCCUAAACACAAGUGAUGAGUACACAGGGAAAGUAUGCCGCAAACUUCUUUUUGGUAUUCACUCGUGAAUAGGCUACCUCCAAGAUUUUGUCAAUCCAAUCCCCUUACAUAUCAUAAUAAAGAUUCCAUUUCUUCACACAAGGUGACCUCAACCAUUCAAGUGCAUAAGGGGCGAUAAAGUUUGUAGGAGAUUGUCUAGGAUAAGAGAGAAGUUCGAAUAUCCACAAAUAUUCACCUUUAUUUCAAGACACAGCCUCUUCGGAUUAACCUUUCACGAUAACAUUGAGUUUCCUUACAACUCAUUUAUAUCUACUGUUGGAGUCCUAUAUCGGUGGGUUAAAGGGUCCUUGGUCUCCUUAUAUGGUCUUGAGCAAUCCUCUCCUCAAAAGCUAGCUCGUGAGGGGAGGAUUGCCCAAGACCAUAUAAGGAGACCAAGGACCUUUAACCCACCGAUGUGGGACAACAACACCUCCCCGCACGCCCAGGGCUGGACAUCUGGAGCGUAGACAAUAUAAGACGGGAGGUCCAACAUCGGAAACAAUGAACUGGGUGGGUCAAUUUCGGUGACUGAUUUGGGUCAAUUUUUAUUUUGUGGGUUGUGUGAAAAAUACAACACCACCAAAAGAAUCGGAAAGAUCAGGCGACAAAAACCGUCGGAAAAUUACCCUCCACGUGCCGCUAUGCGCCAGCCGGAAUCCAGAAAUUCCGGCGAGAUCUGCGGCACGCGCCGGCGCGUGAGCCCAUCUUCGGUUGAUUUUUGAGUUGUUUUUUUUCUGUUGGGGUCGUCGGUCUAUUCCGACUCCGACCACUUGCUCCUUCCAGAUUUCGACAAUUAUUUUGAGAUUUCGACCGUCAGAACCCUAAUUUUGGAGACAUCAGUUUUUUUUCGAGGAUUUUUUUUUCUUCAGAAAUUCAGAUCUGGUUCUUGGAAUUUUCGAGUCAAAUUCCCAAGAUAUCUUUUGGGCAUGAUAUUUUUUUUUGGCUCCAAAAAUAUUGAAAUUGGAAGUUCAAGUCCUAUGAUUAAAUUUAAGCCGUUAAUGAGAAGAUCAGAAAAUCAAAUGUCACAGUUCAUGAAGAAUCGACGAGGGAAAGGUCGAUUUGGAAGAUCUCGUCCUAGGUGUAGUUAUUGUAAAAGGCUUGGACAUACUCGCAGCGUAUGUUAUUCUAGACCUAAGUGUAGUUAUUGUAAUAGGCUUGGACAUACUCGUUAAAUAUGCUAUUCUUUGCAUGGUCGACCAACUAAAAAUGCUCAUAUUGCUCAGUCUAACACCACAAGUGAUCAACGGGUGUAUUUAUCUAAUAAGGAAUAUAAUGAGUAUCUUCAGUAUCAGGCAAGUAAGCAUAUAUUUCUACUAAUAGCCUCAACUGCACAAUCUCCUACCUUUGGAUCAUGGGUUGUGGACUCAGGUGCUUCUAAUCAUAUUUCUGGUUGUAAAUCACUUUUGUCUGAUAUUGUUUAUUCACAAUCUCUUUCAGCUAUUACUUGAGCUAAUGGAAUUCGAACAGAGCCUAAGGGAGUUAGACAAGCCAAACCCCUAUCUUCUAUCACUCUAGGCUCUGUUCUUUAUGUCCUUGUUUGUCCUUUAUAUCUUGCAUCUGUUAGUCGUUUGGCACAUGCCUUUGAUUGUAGUAUAACUUUUUUUGAUGAUUCUUUUCUAAUGCAGGACCGCAAAACGGGAUAGACAAUUGACAUAGGACAUGAAUUACAAGGCCUUUACCAUCUUACCGCUUCAAAUUCCUUCACAGCAUGCUCCGCUACAGAUUCUCCCAACCUUAUUCACAAACGUUUGGGACAUCCUAGUCUAUCCAAGCUACAAAAGAUGGUGCCUAGUUUGUCUAGUCUGUCCACAUUAGAUUGUGAGUCGUGUUAACUUGGGAAACACACCCGUGCUACAUUUUCACAUAGUAUUGAGAGUCGCUCAAAGUCUAUUUUCUCAUUAGUUUAUUCUGAUAUUUGGGGUCCUAGUCGAGUUAGUUCACCGUUAGGAUUUCGUGACUUUGUUACUUUCAUCGAUGUACUUGGAUUUACUUAACGAAAGAUCGUUCCGAGUUAUUUUCUAUAUUCAAAAGUUUUUGUGCUGAAAUACAAAAUCAAUUUGGUGUUUCUAUUCGUGCUUUUUGUAGUGAUAAUGCUUUAGAAUACUUAUCUUCCCAGUUUCAGGAGUUUAUGACUCAUGAAGGAAUCAUUCACCAAACAUAAUGUUCAUACACCCCUUAGCAGAACGGUAUAGAAGAAAGAAAAAAUAGGCAUCUCAUUGAGACUGCUCGCACUCUUCUCAUUGAAUCCCAUGUUCCACUGUGUUUUUGGGGCGAUGCGGUCCUCACAUCUUGCUAUCUCAUUAACAGAAUGCCAUCAUCUUCGAUCCAGAAUAAGGUUCCCCAUUCCAUACUAUUUCCUCAAUCACAUCUCUACUAUCUCCCUUCGUGUUUUUGGGAGCACAUGUUUUGUUCAUAACUUAGUCUCAGGAAAAGAUAAAUUAGCCCCUCGUGCUCUCAAAUAUGUCUUUCUUUGUUACUCUCGAGUUCAAAAAGGGUAUUGAUGCUAUUCACCUGAUCUGAGUCACUACCUUAUGUCCGUUGAUGUCACAUUCUUUGAAUCUCAACCUUACUAUACAUCUUCUGAUCAUCUUAAUAUCUCUGAGAUUUUACCCAUACCUCAAGUCUUACCCACACCAAUCUUUGAGGAAUCUACGGUUACUUCUCUAUCUCCAGCCUCAGUGCCACCACUUUUGACUUAUCACUGGCGCCCACGUCCAGUAUCAGUCCCAGAUGAUUCAUGUCCUGCGCGUGACACUUCCCCUACUGCGGACCUGCCUCUUCCUAGUCAACCAGUUGCACUUCAAAAAGGUAUAAGAUCCACUCGUAAUGCUAACCCACAUUAUACUUUCUUGAGUUAUCAUCGUUUGUCAUCACCUUAUUAUGUUUUUGUAUCAUCUUUGUCCUCUAUUUUCAUUCUAAGACUACAAGUAAAGCACUUUCCGAUGGAAACAUGCUAUGAUUGAUGAGAUGUCUGUUUUACAUACGAGUGGUACUUGGGAGCUUGUUUCCCUUCCUGCAGGUAAAUCUACUGUUGGUUGUUGUUGGGUUUAUACAGUCAAAGUUGGUCCAGAUGGUCAGGUUGAUCGGAUGAAGGCUUGCCUUGUUGCCAAAGAAUAUACACAGAUAUUUUGGCUUGAUUAUAGUGACACUUUCUCUCCUGUGGCUAAAAUAGCAUUGGUCUGUCUUUUUCUCUCUAGCUGUCGUUCGUCAUUGGCCUCUUUAUCAGUUGGACAUUAAGAAUGUUUUUCUGCAUGGUGAUCUUGAGGAAGAAGUUUAUAUGGAGCAACCACUUGGUUUUGUUGCUCAGGGGGAGUCUAGCAGCCUUGUAUGUCGAUUGCGCAAGUCACUCUAUUGUUUGAAACAAUCCCCUCGAGCCUGGUUCGGAAAGUUUAGCACAGUUAUUUAGGAGUUUGGCAUGAUUUAUACUGGAGCUGAUCAUUCAGUGUUUUAUCGCCAUUCUGAACCAAAUCUGUGUAUUUAUUUGGUGGUUUAUGUUGACGAUAUUGUUAUCACCGGCAAUGAUCAAGAUGGUAUCAGAGCCAGACCCUUCCAGUUCAUUGUUUUCGAUGUUGGGUCUCCUGUCUUAUAUUGUUCACGCUCCAAAUGUCCAGCCCUGGGCGUGCGGGGGGUGUUGGAGUCCCACAUCGGUGGGCUAAAGGGUUCUUGGUCUCCUUAUAUGGUCUUGGGCAAUCCUCCCCUCAUGAGUUAGCUUUUGAGGUUAAGUUAGACCCAAAGUCCAUUUCUUUAUCACCUACAAAACGAGCAAACAAGAUUAGUAAUAAAAGUUCCUCACAAUCACUGGUAUUUCCACUUCUUGUGUUUGGCUAGCACAACUCAAAUGUACUCAUAUACUCUAGCCUUUUACCACUCAAAGAUCCGACCAAAGUUGCUAUUCAAUUUGAUCAAUUGCUUGCUAAGAGCCACAAACAACCUUGAGGGUAGAAUGGAUUUUUGUUCCUAGAAGUACAGAUGACUCAAUAAAAUCUAAUGGACUUGAAUCAAGAAAAUUAACAAUGAAAUAACACUAGAAAAGCACAAGAAAGAAAUUAGCACAAAAGAAAAAAAAUUGGACUCAAAGAACUUGAUAAUAUUUAGUAGGGUAAUCUACUAAUUAGAUUCAAGUUAUGAAGCCAAAUAAAGGUAUAAUUAAUGAAAAAUAAACCAUUUUAAAAAGAUUUGUACUAAGAAAAUCAUUCGAGAAGAAAGUUGGUUGAAUUCCAUGGAGAAAAAGGAUCCAAAAGUGGAGCUUAAACAUGGAAAAACAUGGGAAAUUAGCUCCAAAAACUGCUGGAGCCGUCGCUGAAGGGAGCUGGAGCAGGCUGGAUGGUCUGGAGGCACUGGCUUGAGCACUGGAGCUGAGAUGAGGGGUAGAAGCUGGAGGCUCAAUGCGGAAGCCAUUUGUAAAUAGCUGGUUGUUCCAAGCUACGUGAAAGUCGAUGUUAGGCGGCUCCUGGAUGCGGAAGGUGUUUUUGCUGAGGCUGGAGAUGGCUCAAGCGGAAGCUGAUGAUACGGUCCAGGCGGAUGACGCGCUGAUUUGGCAACUUCUAAUUGGCCAUGAAUAAUUACUGAAAAAUCCUUCUUUUAAAAAAAAAUAGAAUUCUCUUUUGUACUCCUUUGGCUCCACCAUGCCCAAUUUUUGUACCACACAACUUUAAAUAAAUUUCUUCUUGGGUCUUUGGAUCAAAUAUACUUUCUUCGCUCCUUCCUCAAGAACACUUGAAAGACACCAAGAACACUUUGAAAUUCCAACAUCCCUGAAAUCAAUUUGGAAUUGACUAAAAUUAUAGGAUUAGCUCCCCCUAGACCUAGUGAACGAAUCCCACUAAUUUUUAACCUCUUAUUCACACUAAAUCUUCAAGACCCAAUUUCAACUUUCCAAACUUUCAAGCUCAACAAUGAUGUAUUCAUCUCUACAACUCAAAAUUGGAUGAAAUUUUUGAAUUUGGAUUCAAAAGACACUAGGGAGCAAAGAUCUAGUGUCAAAAAUAACAAAUCAAAACAAAAAAAAUGGAUUUUUUUUAAUAUUACCAAACCGCAAUAUGAAAUACACCGAAUGGAAACCCUAAUAGUAGAACAACAAUUAAAGAUAAAAGAAUAGAAAUAUAGAGACAUAAAUUGAAAUUAAGACAACCAAUACUAUAUUAUAGACCUCCUUGAGUGUUCAAGAUAAGCACCUAAACCUAUAAAUCAAGUAAGACACAAGUAUAAGAUUAAUAAGCAACAUGACUAUAUCAAUGCCAAAAACUCCUAUUAAGAACACAAAACAAGCACAUAUACUAUAGAAAUACCCUCAAGAGGAAUGAUUUCACCAAGCAAGCAAUCCCAUCAACAAUUAAUACAAAGACCAUAGCUUCAACUCUCCCAAGGGUUUCACUUAUCAAGAUAUCAAUAAUCAAAAUUUUCUAAGUGUAGAGGAGUUAUUCUCCAUUAUUUAUAACCUAAUCUCACUAUUACAAUACCCUUAAUGAACUAAGCGUCUUCUUGGUCAAUAGGCUUGCAUUUUAAGAAUACCACUUUGCAUUCAUAGCCUCUUCCUCCUUAUCCGAGUGGUCUUUCACGUGGAGCCUUGUACUUCUAUUUUUGCACGUUCCUAAGCUUCAAGCCUUUGUUUCAAGCUCCUUCCAAACCUCCAAGAUAUUGACUUGACCCAAAGCUCUUAAACUCCUUGUCUUGGCUUGACGUGCAUGCAUCAACAUCAGUUGGAUAUCAAGAAUGCGUUCCUUCACAGUGAUGUUUAAGAGGAAGUGAAUAUUGAGCAACCACCUGGUGUCAUUGCGCAUGGGGAGUAUGGGAAAGUCUAUCAUUUGAAGAAGUCCUUGUAUGGCUUGAAACAAAGUCCCCGGGCUUUGUUUGACAAGUUGAGUAAGGUAUUUCAGGAAUUUUGGUUGAAAAUGAGCAAAGGUGAUCACUCAGUCCUCUACCGACAAUCAACAAGUGGCAUAAUCCUCUCUGUUGUAAAUGUUGAUGACAUUAUCAUAACAUAUGCAGUGUAUGUCUUUCCUGCAUACUGGUUUCAUACAAAAGUCUUGGGCUAGUUGAAAUACUUCUUGGGAGUAGAAGUGAACAGAAGCUAGAAGGGAAUUUUUCUGUUUCAGAGAAAGCGUAUUCUUGACCUGCUUGCAAAUACUGAAAAGUUGGCAGCCAAACCCUGCAAUACUCUAAUGUUUCCCAACAUGCAUCUUAUGAGAGGUGAUGAUGAUCCUUUUAACGAUCCAAAGGGAUAUAGAAGGCUGCUUUGGAAGUUAAACUACCUUAGUGUGACUCGUCUAGGUAUUGCUUUUGUAGUAAGUGUUGUUAGCCAGUUCAUAUUCGCACCUACGGUUAAACAUUGGGAAGCUUUGGAACAUAUUCUAUGUUACUUGAAAGGAGCUCUUCGACUUGGCGUACUGUAUAACAAUCACGAUCAUACUUGUGUUGAGUGUUUUGUAUUUUGUAGAUGCUGCGUGGGCUGGAUCUAAAGUUGAUAUAAGAUCUACUACAAGCUAUUCUGUCUUUGUUGGAGGAAUCUUGUGUUAUGAAGGAGUGAGAGCAAGGUGUUGCAUCUCGAUGAAGUGUAGAAUUCGACUACAGAUAUAUGUCACAGUUUACGUGUGAAAUUAUGUGGGUACAUCAUCUUUUAACUGAAACUGGGUUAAAGCAUCAUAGACCGGCAAAAAUUUGAUGCGGUAAUCAAGCUACUCUUCUUAUUGCAUCAAAUACAGUGUAUCAUGAAAGAACUAAACGUAUUGUCAACUGUCAUUUUAUUCAUGAGAAGAUUUAGGUAAACCUGAUUUUCACUGGCUAUGUGAAUAAAGCGUUGAAUGGAACUUGAGUUGAACCAUUGUAACAAGAUGGACAUGAUCAAUAUCUAUGCUCCAACUUGAGGGGGGAGUGUCGGAGAAUCAUAAAGUAAAAUGUGUCCUUGUAUAUACUAUUCUACUCCCUCCGUUUAAAAAAGAAUGACUUAGUUUGACUUGACACAAAGUUUAAGAAAAUAAUAAAGACUUUUGAAUCUUGUAGCCUUAAAUUAAAGUUGUGUCAAAUGUACCAAAAUGCUUUUUAAUCUUGUGGUCCUAAACAUGCCAUGUGAAAAGUUGAAAUUAAAGUAUUGUCAAAAAAGGAAAGGGAUCGUUCUUUUUGAAACAGACUACAAAGAAAAGUAGGUCAUUCUUUUUUAAACGGAGGGAGUAGCUGAUUUUUAGGGAUUUAAAUAUCUAAUUACCUUAGCCUUUUCUUUACCUGUAUUUAAAUCAUUGUAUUCUUUGGAUAAUAGACAUUAAAAUUACCCCACUACCUUUGUUGUACAAAAAUCUAGUAGAAGACUAGCUAUCAACACAUAUAUCAUGGUUUUGUUCUUGUUACUUGUCUUGUAAUGUAAUAUGUUCUGCUAUAAUGCACUGCGGGACCCUAAGAAGGUGUUUUGUUGACAAGAAACUGCAUUCAUUGAAAAUAGUUCUUGGGCAGUUCAGAUACUGCGUCAUUCUUUAAGAUGCACAGAGGAUUUUUAAUAGUUAUUUUAUAUAAUUUUGCCUUUUGAUUAUUCAUAAUAGAUUCCUGUAGACCUAUCUGGUACUCACUCUUUGAACAGGGUGCUUGUGCAGUUCUGGUGUAGCCACAGCACUGUUCCUUUAAACGUGAUUAUCUCACAGGUGAUCUUUCUCUAUUGUAUCUCUAAUAAUACAUAGCAAGCAUUGGUAUGCCAAUUGAACUAGUCUUGGGCUAUUCACAUAGUCAGAAAUCAUCUUUGCAUGAACUUUACAGAUGGGUUCGCGGUGUGGAAAGGCUCUCGUAGCUGAAAGUGUUCAAGAUUCACUUCACAGUUGGUGUAGGAGAGUGAAGAACAGGUCGAAACAAGAUGCUUUACGCUCUAUAGCUACAAGAUCAACAUGUUCCCUUGAAUCAAUGAUUGACGAGGGAGAUGAGAUAGCAACAGUGGCAUCAGUAACUUUAUCUCCAUGUUCCUCUAGAGGCUCAUUUCACCACCUAGAUGAGAAUGUGCUGUCAAAUGACCAGCAAGAAGAUUGCAUUGGUGGAACUUCAAACCAACCAGGACAUGAACUAUCCUUCAGAAACAGGGAAUAUUCAUGUGAAGCUCUGGAGAUUAUGGAUGAUGAGAAGCAUUCAUCUGAACCUCUGGAUGAUAUGGAUAAUGAUGAUGCAGACAAGACAGAAACUCUGUUCGAGCUGUUCCAGAAGACAUGAACUUUUCUCAUGCUACAGAGUAUUUAAUCUGUACAUUGUACACCCACCUUCCCAUACGCUGCACGAGCUGACUAGCUGCAGAGCAAGUCGUGCACGGGAUAAGCCCUUUUUACACAAGUACUUAUUGUUGCCUUUGCUAUCUGACAAAGAGACCACUUCUCUAGGAUUAAUCUAUGUUAUUAUGUAACUCAGAAAGUGAGCAUACAUUGAUUUGUAAAGAAAGUCUGAUGAACAUGGUUGAAUAUAUGCCUAAUUUUCAGUUGAUAACAUUGGGCCUUCAAAAUGUUUUUGUUUUACACCCAUAACUCUUUUUCACCUAGGCUUGGGUAAAAUAAUAGAGCUAAGUAUUAAUGAAAAGUCUUC
rnacentral:lncRNA from 1 species